rnacentral:rRNA from 2 species
UAGGGAAAGUUUUUCGGUGUAGGAUGAGACUAUAUAGUAUCAGCUAGUUGGUAAGGUAAUGGCUUACCAAGGCUAUGACGCUUAACUGGUCUGAGAGGAUGAUCAGUCACACUGGAACUGAGACACGGUCCAGACUCCUACGGGAGGCAGCAGUAGGGAAUAUUGCGCAAUGGGGGAAACCCUGACGCAGCAACGCCGCGUGGAGGAUGACACUUUUCGGAGCGUAAACUCCUUUUCUUAGGGAAGAAUUCUGACGGUACCUAAGGAAUAAGCACCGGCUAACUCCGUGCCAGCAGCCGCGGUAAUACGGAGGGUGCAAGCGUUACUCGGAAUCACUGGGCGUAAAGGGCGCGUAGGCGGAUUAUCAAGUCUCUUGUGAAAUCUAAUGGCUUAACCAUUAAAC